GAAAUGGGCACAGUUAACCUGAGCCUUCAUCUCCUCAGAGGAUGAGGCUGGAGCAAUCCAACCCCUCCAUCACAAAGGAGUUGGAACGACGAUUGUGGAGGCCUCAACUCCUCCGCUCCACCCAAACCUCCCCCAGCCCUCAAGAAGGGGAGUACGAGUGGAGAUAUCCCUCCCCUGACCCCUCCUUAAGGGGAGGAGGACAGAUAUGACACUUCCCCUAAUCCCCACAGGAAACAAGGAGAGAAAUGAUCCUUACCGACAAUCGACAAUUUAGGGUGCGGAGGCCCCGACAGAGAUUUCUCCGCUCCACGGAGUUCUCCUCCAGCCCUCACCAAGGGUGAGGGCGGAGGCAGCCCGGCCCCUCCGGCCCGGAGGAGAGCGACACGGCCCGCUCGGUAACGUGAGGGGAACGGAGAGCUCCCGGUGCCCCCAAAUGAAAGAUGGAGAUCCCCAGCAAUCCUCCAGGAUGAGAAGGUUGGAGUCUGCCCCGCUAAUCCUGCAGGGAUUCCCUCACGGCAUCUCCCAGGACGAGGAGCACUGGAGAGCCCGACAUCACCUCCAUCCCCAUCAUUCCCUGGGGCGCCAUUAAAGGCACAGGUACAACCCCCCGAGUCCAUCUCCAACGUCCGCUAUGAGACGGACAGAGACCCCGCGAGCGUCCCCCGGCUUGCACAUGAAAUAAAGUUGAUCAAAAUCUGGCAACUCAUAA